GCUGCGCGUCCUCAGCCUGCGCUCUGCGCUCGUUACGGCUCGGAGGACAGCCUUGGAGGCGGGACCGUCGCUUUCCCAGGGACGCCGGCGGCACCUUGACAGUCGGUCCUCUUACUACGGGAACGAUUCUUGUGGUUCCGCUGACGCGAUUCCCUCGAGACUAUUCAGGAGAGACACACAUCUGUCUCCUGCUCUGAUGAUGGUGUGACUGCGCUGUUUCUUCAAGGGAGUGCUUAGCUGUCUGGGUCCAGUCUCCCCAGACGUAAAUCAAGUGGCCCUGCCCUCCUUCCACGCGUGAGAGGCACAGCUCAGUGGUGAACAGGUCACAGGUGCAGCCUAAACACUGAAACAUGGCUUCCUUUAGCAGUAGCCCCUCACGUCUUCAUGUGCACUCUUAGCUGGCAAAUCAUGGAGACCCCAUUUCAGACUCUGGAAGAACUCCAAGGCUCAUGCUGUGACCCAGAGGCAAGGAUGAGAGGGAGAAAGACUGAGCUUGGUGGAAAGCACUUGGCAUUCCAACAGUCGGGAGACAAAGGCAUCGGAUGUUCACAGUCAUCCUUGGCUCUAUGUGGAGUGUGUGAGGCCAGCUUGGGUUACUGAUAUCUUGUUUGAAAAAUAAAAUAAAGAGUGAAGAGACCUGG